rfam:Candidatus Woesebacteria bacterium RIFCSPHIGHO2_01_FTLL_44_21 rifcsphigho2_01_scaffold_342, whole genome shotgun sequence.
GGCCCCAUCGUCUAGCCUGGUCUAGGACACGAGACUUUCAUUCUUGUAACUUGGGUUCAAAUCCCAAUGGGGUCA